ensembl:lncRNA
AAACCCCAUUUAACACGAAAAUCACGCAUUUUCUCUUCGAUAAGCAAGCAUUUAACUUGAAAAUCACGCAUUUUCUCUUCGCAAAUCCCCAAUUUAAGAGAAAAUCACGCGUUUUCUCUUCGUGAAUCCCCCAUUUAAGUGAAAAUCACGUGUUUUCUCUUCACAAGUCCCCCAUUUAAGCGAAAAUCACGCGUUUUCUCUUCGAGAAUCCCCCAUUUAAGCAAAAAUCACGCGUUUUCUCUUCGAGAAUCCCCAAUUUAACAUGAAAAUCACGCGUUUUCUCUUCACAAAUUCCCCAUUUAAGCGAAAAUCACGCCUUUUCUCUUCGCAAAUCCCCCAUUUAAGCGAAAAUCACGCCUUUUCUCUUUGCAAAUCCCCAAUUUAAGAGAAAAUCACGCGUUUUCUCUUCACAAAUACCCCAUUUAAGCGAAAAUCACGCCUUUUCUCUUCGCAAAUCCCCCAUUUAACCUGAAAAUCACGCGUUUUCUCUUCGAGAAUUCCCCAUUUAAGCAAAAAUCACGCGUUUUCUCUUCGCUUAAAUGGGGGAUUCUCGAGGAGAAAACACGUGAUUUUUGCUUAAAUGGGGGAUUCUUGAAGAGAAAACGCGUGAUUUUUGGCUUAAAUGGGGGAUUCUUGAAGAGAAAAUGCUUGACUUUCGCUGAAAUGGGGUAUUUGCGAAGAGAAAAUGCGUGAUCUUCGGGUUAAAUGGGGGAUUCUCGAAGAGAAAAAGCAUGAUUUUUGCUUAAAUUGGGGAUUCUCGAAGAGAAAACGUGAGAUUUUCACUGAAAUGCAGGAUUCUCGAUGAGGAAAUGCGUGAUUUUCGCUAAAAUGGGGGAUUUGUGAAGAGAAAACGCGUGAUUUUCGCUUAAAUGGGGGAUUCCCGAAGAGAAAAACGCGUGAUUUUCGGGUUAAAUGGGGGAUUCUCAAAGAGAAAACGAGUGAUUUUCAGGAUAAAUGGAUGUUUAUCAAAGAGAAAAUGCAUGAUUUUUGCUUAAAUGGGGGAUUCACAAAGAGAAAACGCGUGAUUUUCGCUGAAAUGGUGGAUUUGCAAAGAGAAAACGCGUGAUUUUCGCUUCAAUGGGGGAUUCUCGAAGAGAAAACGUGUGAUUUUCGCUAAAAUGGAAGAUUCUCAAAGAGAAAACGCGUGAUUUUCGGGUUAAAUGGGGGAUUCAUGAAGAGAAAACGUGUUAUUUUCACGUAAAUGGGAGAUUUGCGAAGAGAAAACGCGUGAUUUUCGGGUAAAAUGGUGAAUUCUCGAAGAGAAAACGCGUGAUUUUCGCUUAAAUGGGGGAUUUGCGGAGAGAAAACGCAUAAUUUUCGGGUUAAAUGGGGGAUUCUCGAAGAGAAAACGUGUGAUCUUUGCUUAAAUGGGGGAUUUGAGAAGAGAAAACGCGUGGUUUUCGGGUUAAAUGGUGGAUUCUCGAAGAGAAAACGCGUGAUUUUCGGGUUAAAUGGGGAUUUCGAAGAGAAAACGUGUGAUUUUCGGGUUAAAUGGGGGAUUUGCGAAGAGAAAGCGCGUGAUUUUUGCUUAAAUGGGGGAAUUGCAAAGAGAAAACGCGUGAUUUUUGCUUAAAUGGGAGAUUCCCGAUAAGAAAACACGUGAUUUUUGCUUAAAUGGGGGACUUGCGGAGAGAAAACGCAUAAUUUUCGGGUUAAAUGGGGGAUUCUCGAAGAGAAAACGUGUGAUUUUCGGGUAAAUGGGGGACUCUCGAAGAGAAAACGCGUGGUUUUCGGGUUAAAUGGUGGAUUCUCGAAGAGAAAACGCGUGAUUUUUGCCUAAAUGGGGGAUUCUCGAAGAGAAAACGCGUGAUUUUCGGGUUAAAUGGGGGAUUCUCGAAGAGAAAACGCGUGAUUUUCGCUUAAAUGGGGGAUUUGCGAAGAGAAAAUGCGUGAUUUUCGCUUAAAUGGGGGAUUUGCGAAGAGAAAUAGCGUGAUUUUUGCUUAAAUGGGGGAUUCUUGAAGAGAAAACGCGUGAUUUUUGCUUAAAUGGGGGAUUCUUGAAGAGAAAACGCGUGAUUUUUGCUUAAAUGGGGGAUUCUCGAACAGAAAACACGUGAUUUUCGCUUAAAUGGGGGAUUCUCGAAGAGAAAACUUGUGUUUUUCGCUUAAAUGGAAAAUCUGUGAAGAGAAAACGCGUGAUUGUCGCUUAAAUUUGGGAUUUCUGAACAGCAAACACGUGAUUUUCACUUAAAUGGGGGAUUCUGAAAGAGAAAACGCGUGAUUUUCGGCUUAAAUGGGGGAUUUGUGAAGAGAAAACGCGUGAUUUUUGGUUAAAUGGGGGAUUCUCGAAGUGAUAAUUCGUGAUUUUUGGCUUCAAUGGGGGAUUCUCGAAAAGAAAACGUGUGAUUUUCGCUUAAAUGGGGGAUUCUUGAAGAGAAAACUCGUGAUUUUUUUAUUAAAUGGGGGUUUCUAGAAGAGAAAAUGCGUGAUUUUUGCUUAAAUGCUGAAUUCUCGAAGAGAAAACGCGUGAUUUUCGGGUUAAAUGGGGGAUUCUUGAAGAGAAAACGCGUGAUUUUCGCUUAAAUGGGGGAUUGGCAAAGAGAAAACGCGUGAUUUUCAGGUUAAAUGGGGGAUUUGCGAAGAGAAAACGCGUGAUUUUUGCUUAAAUGGGGGAUUCUUGAAGAGAAAACACGUGAUUUUCGCUUAAAUGGAAGAUCGGCGAAGAGAAAACGCGUGAUUUUCGCUUAAAUGGGGGAUUCUCAAAGAGAAAAUGCGUGUUUUUCGCUUAAAUGGGGGAUUUGUGAAGAGCAAACACGUGAUUUUCUCUUAAAUGGGGGAAUUGUGAAGAGAAAACGCGUGUUUUUCGCUUAAAUGGGGGAUUUGUGAAGAGCAAACACGUGAUUUUCUCUUAAAUGGGGGAAUUGUGAAGAGAAAACGCGUGAUUUUCGCUUAAAUGGGGGAUUUGCGAAGAGAAAACGCGUGAUUUUCGCUUAAAUGGGGGAUUCUCGAAGAGAAAAUGCGUGAUUUUUGCUUAAAUGGGAGAUUCUCGAUAAGAAAACACGUGAUUUUUGCUUAAAUGGGGGAUUUGCGAAGAGAAAACGCGUGAUUUUCGGGUUAAAUGGGGGAUUCUCGAAGAGAAAACGUGUGAUUUUUGCUUAAAUGGGGGAUUUGCGAAGAGAAAACGCGUGUUUUCGGUUAAAUGGGGGAUUCUCGAAGAGAAAACGCGUGAUUUUCGCUUAAAUGGGGUAUUUGUGAAGAGAAAUCGCGUGAUUUUCGGGUUCAAUGGUGGAUUCUCGAAGAGAAAACGCGUGAUUUUGGCUUAAAUGGGGGAUUUGCGAAGAGAAAACGCGUGAUUUUCGGGUUAAAUGGGGGAUUCUCGAAGAGAAAACGCGUGAUUUUUGCUUAAAUGGGGGAUUCUCGAAGAGAAAACGCGUGAUUUUGCUUAAAUGGGGGAUUUGCGAAGAGAAAACGCGUGAUUUUCGCUUAAAUAAGGGAUUCGCGAAGAGAAAAUGCGUGAUUUUGCUUAAAUGGGGAUUCUCGAAGAGAAAACGCGUGAUUUUCGCUAAAUGGGAAGAUUCUCGAAGAGAAUACGCAUGAUUUUCGGGUUAAAUGGGGGAUUUGCGAAGAGAAAACGCGUGAUUUUCAGGUUAUAUGGGGGAUUUGCGAAGAGAAAACGCGUGAUUUUCGCUUAAAUGGGAGAUUAGCAAAGAGAAAACGCGUGAUUUUUGCUUAAUAGGGAUUUCGAAAGAAAACGCAUGAUUUCAGGUAAAUGGGAUUCUCGAAGAGAAAACGCGUGAUUUUCGCUUAAAUGGGGGAUUUGCGAAGAGAAAACGCGUGAUUUUCGGGUUAAAUGGGGAUUUGCGAAGAGAAAACGCGUGAUUUUCGGUUAAAUGGGGGAUUCUCGAAGAGAAAACGCGUGAUUUUCGCUUAAAUGGGGGAUUUGAAGAGAAAACGCGUGAUUUUCGCUUAA